rnacentral:rRNA from 1 species
CCUACGGGCGGCAGCAGUGAGGAAUAUUGGUCAAUGGGCGCGAGCCUGAACCAGCCAAGUAGCGUGAAGGAUGACUGCCCUACGGGUUGUAAACCUCUUUUAUAAAGGAAUAAAGUGAGGCACGUGUGCCCUUUUGUAUGUACUUUAUGAAUAAGGAUCGGCUAACUCCGUGCCAGCGGCCGCGGUAAUAAGGAGGAUCCGAGCGUUAUCCGGAUUUAUUUGGUUUAAAGGGAGCGUAGAUGGGUUGGUAAGUCAGUUGUGAAAGUUUGCGGCUCAACCGUAAAAUUGCAAUUGAUACUGGCAGCCUUGAGUACAGGUGAGGUAGGCGGAAUUCGUGGUGUAGCGGUGAAAUGCUUAGAUAUCACGAAGAACUCCGAUUGCGAAGGCAGCUUACUAAACUGCCACUGACAUUGAUGCUCGAAAGUGUGGGUAUCAAACAGGAUUAGAUACCCCAGUAGUC